rnacentral:rRNA from 1 species
UACAGAGACUGCAAGCGUUAUUCGGAUUCACUGGGCGUAAAGGGUGCGCAGGCGGCUAUGUGCGUGAGGCGUGAAAGCCCGGGGCUUAACCCCGGAAUUGCACCUCAAACUACAUGGCUAGAGCAUUGGAGAGGGUAGCGGAAUUCACGGUGUAGCAGUGAAAUGCGUAGAUAUCGUGAGGAACACCAGAGGCGAAGGCGGCUACCUGGACAAUUGCUGACGCUCAGGCACGAAAGCGUGGGGAGCAAAAGGG